rnacentral:rRNA from 1 species
AUACGGAGGGUGCAAGCGUUAAUCGGAAUUACUGGGCGUAAAGGGUACGUAGGCGGUUAAAUAAGUUGGAUGUGAAAGCCCCUGGCUCAACCUGGGAACUGCAUUCAAAACUGUUUGACUAGAGUGUAUGAGAGGUUGGCGGAAUUCCAGGUGUAGCAGUGAAAUGCGUAGAUAUCUGGAGGAACAUCAGUGGCGAAGGCGGCCAACUGGCAUAACACUGACGCUGAGGUACGAAAGCGUGGGGAGCGAACGGGAUUAGAUACCCUAGUAGUCC